rnacentral:tRNA from 1 species
AAAAUAAAGCGAUAUUACAAUUGCAAUCAGUUUCGACCUGAGCCUAGAGGACCUCUAUUUUU